UCAAAACAUUGUCUUAUGAAUAAAAUAUUAGAUAAUUCCUGCCCAGUGACACUUGUUCAACGGCCGCGGUAUCCUAACCGUGCAAAGGUAGCAUAAUCAUUUGCCUAUUAAUUGUAGGCUGGAAUGAAUGGAUUAACGAAAUAAAGACUGUCUCAAUUAACCACCUAAAAAUUAUUUUCUAUCUGAAGAAAGAUAGAUAAUCUCGAAGGACAAGAAGACCCUAUAGAGCUUAAUUUUAACUAUAGAAAUAAACUAUAGAAAUAUUCGGUUGGGGCGACCCAGGGCUAAUCAAUCACCCAUUAAAUAUAAGAUUAAUUAAUCUACUAAAUGACCCUUUAAUGAUCAUAAAAACAAGCUACCUUAGGGAUAACAGGCUAAUCCCACUUAAGAGUCCUUAUCAACAGUGGGGUUUGGCACCUCGAUGUUGGCUUAGGGUGUCCCUAUAGCGCAAAAGUUAUAUAAAGAUGGUUUGUUCAACCAAUAAUUCCCUACGUGAUCUAUU
rnacentral:rRNA from 1 species